rnacentral:rRNA from 1 species
UGGGGAAUAUUGGACAAUGGGCGAAAGCCUGAUCCAGCCAUGCCGCGUGUGUGAAGAAGGUCUUCGGAUUGUAAAGCACUUUAAGUUGGGAGGAAGGGCAGUAAGCGAAUACCUUGCUGUUUUGACGUUACCGACAGAAUAAGCACCGGCUAACUCUGUGCCAGCAGCCGCGGUAAUACAGAGGGUGCAAGCGUUAAUCGGAAUUACUGGGCGUAAAGCGCGCGUAGGUGGUUCGUUAAGUUGAAUGUGAAAGCCCCGGGCUCAACCUGGGAACUGCAUCCAAAACUGGCGAGCUAGUGUAGGGCAGAGGGUGGUGGAAUUUCCUGUGUAGCGGUGAAAUGCGUAGAUAUAGGAAGGAACACCAGUGGCGAAGGCGACCACCUGGGCUCAUACUGACACUGAGGUGCGAAAGCGUGGGGAGCAAACAGG